rnacentral:rRNA from 1 species
UACGGAAGGCAGCAGUGGGGAAUAUUGCACAAUGGGCGAAAGCCUGAUGCAGCUAUGCCGCGUGUAUGAAGAAGGCCUUAGGGUUGUAAAGUACUUUCAUCGGGGAGGAAAAAACAAAACUAAUAAUUUUAUUUCUUGACGUUACCCGAAAAAGAAGCACCGGCUAACUCCGUGCCAGCAGCCGCGGUAAUACGGAGGGUGCUAGCGUUAAUCAGAAUUACUGGGCGUAAAGAGCACGUAGGUGGUUUUUUUAAAGUCAGAUGUGAAUCCCUGGGCUUAACCUAGGAACUGCAUUUUGAAACUGAAAUACUAGAGUAUCGUAGAGGGAGGUAGAAUUCUAGGUGUAGCGGUGAAAUGCGUAGAUAUCUGGAGGAAUACCUGUGGCGAAAGCGGCCUCCUAAACGAAUACUGACACUGAGGUGCGAAAGCGUGGGGAGCAAACAGGGAUUAGAUAC